rnacentral:rRNA from 1 species
GACAGAGGCCUCGAGCGUUAGGCGGAAUCACUGGGCUUAAAGCGUGUGUAGGCGGAUCGUUAAGUGCCUUGUGAAAUCCCACGGCUUAACUGUGGAACGGCUGGGCAUACUGGCGGUCUUGAGCCAUCUAGGGGCGACUGGAACAAACGGUGGAGCGGUGAAAUGCGUAGAUAUCGUUUGGAACGCCAAAGGUGAAAACAGGUCGCUGGGGAUGAGCUGA